UUAAUCCCGAAUUGUGAAGAGCUAAAAUUAUAUAUAUAUUAAUGUUGAAUAAUUAUUUGUAAUAUAUUUUUUGUAAUUAUAUGUUAUUCGUUUUUCAAUAUAUCUGGUUUUUGAGGAAAUUAAUUUAAUUAAGCUGAAUUUUGAAUUUUUCUAUAUAUUUAGAUUUUAUUAAGAUUUAUGUAAUGUUUAAGGGGAUAAGCUUUUAAACAAAUCUAUAUAAUUAAAUAUUGUAUUGUUUGAUGUAGGAAUAGAAGUUUUCAUCUUUUGAAGUGUAUUAUUACUUGAUUUUAUAAUAUUUGAUUUUUGUUUUUUUAUAUUUUUUACUUAAAUUAUAAUUUGAAUUGUUUUUGUUUUGUAAUAAUGAUUGAAUUAGUAUAUUAAAUUGUUUUUAUAUUAUUGUUUGGUAGGUUAUCUAAAGGAAUUCGGCAAUUAAAUUUUCUGCCUGUUUAUUAAAAACAUGGCCUUUUGAUAAUAAUUUAAGGUCUGACCUGCUCUAUGAUUAAUUAAAUGGCUGCGGUAUUUUGACCGUGCAAAGGUAGCAUAAUCAUUAGUUUUUUAAUUGGAAGCUGGUAUGAAUGGUUGGACAAGAGAAUUACUGUCUCUGGAUAAUUUGGUUUGAAUUUUAUUUUUUAGUGAGAAAGCUUAAAUUUUUGUGAGGGACGAGAAGACCCUAUAGAAUUUUAUAGAUUAAUUUUGGUGAGGUUUUUAGGUUAAUUGGUUUAGUUUAAAUUAAUUUGUUUUGUUGGGGCGAUAGAAAAAUUUAUUUAACUUUUUUUUACUUUAUACAUUGAUAUAUGAGUAUAUGAUCCAUUAAUUAUGAUUAUAAGAUAAAAUUACCUUAGGGAUAACAGCGUUAUUAGUUUGGAGAGUUCUUAUCGAUAAACUAGAUUGCGACCUCGAUGUUGGAUUAAAAUUAAUUUUUGGUGUAGGGGCUAAAUAAUUAA
rnacentral:rRNA from 1 species